rnacentral:rRNA from 1 species
UCGCUGCGCCCUUCAAAGGUGCCCGAGCCAAGAUAUCCAUCGCUGAAAGUUGUGGAAGUUGGAACAAUGUCCUUCCCAGACAGUUGUCACUAAAGUAACUUAGUCUUCAUUCCCCGGCCCGCUGAAAACGGACCCAUGGCCACAGAGCGACAC